rnacentral:rRNA from 1 species
UACCAGCACCCCGAGUGGUCGGGACGAUUAUUGGGCCUAAAGCAUCCGUAGCCGGUUCUGCAAGUCCCCCGUUAAAUCCAGCUGCUCAACAGAUGGGCCGCGGAGGAUACUACAGAGCUAGGAGGCAGGAGAGGCAAGCGGUACUCAGUGGGUAGGGGUAAAAUCCGUUGAUCCAUUGAAGACCACCAGUGGCGAAGGCGGCUUGCCAGAAUGCGCUCGACGGUGAGGGAUGAAAGCUGGGGAGCAACCGG